ACUGAACAACCCUUUAACCGUAAGGAUAAAAUGUAAAAACCCUACAAUCUCUUUUCAUUUCACAUUUCUGAUUUCUGAAUUCGGAUUUCUGUUCCAGCCUAAGAACAAGACAAGCAGAGGCUCAUGUUUCUUACAUAGUCACGGUCAUAGACUCACAGUAAAGGCUCAAGAGCAACCUCAACUCUUCAAGAACAAGGCUGUCAAAUUUUGAGAAGAUGAAAAGGGCAGAGGUUGAAGAUUUGGAGGUUGAACAUUUGGAGGUUCCUAAAGAUAGUUCAAUAACACCAACAUCUGCAGUAACUGAUUCUCCGGGCACUGUUUUGAGCAUUGAUUAGUUUGGAGCUUAAGCUAAGGAAGAUGAUCGAAGUACUUUUGAUUAUAUUAUGGAUUCUCUAGUUAGUUUAGUUUAAAUAUGUAAUGUUUUCAUUUUUAUGGAUAAAGUUGUUUGUACUUUUGAAGAAUGUAGAGAUAGAAUAUUUGAAUUGUCGCGGCUAGUCAUAAAUCGA